UGCCAGACUCCUACGGGAGGCAGCAGUGGGGAAUAUUGGGCAAUGGGCGCAACCCUGACCCAGCGACGCCGCGUGAGGGAAGACGGUCUUCGGAUUGUAAACCUCUGUCUUUGGGGACGAAAAAGGACGGUACCCAAGGAGGAAGCUCCGGCUAACUACGUGCCAGCAGCCGCGGUAAUACGUAGGGAGCGAGCGUUGUCCGGAAUUACUGGGUGUAAAGGGAGCGUAGGCGGGAUUGCAAGUUGGAUGUGAAAACUGCGGGCUCAACCCGGAGCGUGCAUUCAAAACUGCGAUUCUUGAGUGAAGUAGAGGCAAGCGGAAUUCCUAGUGUAGCGGUGAAAUGCGUAGAUAUACGGAGGAACACCAGUGGCGAAGGCGGAUUGCUGGACAGUAACUGACGCUGAGGCGCGAAAGCGUAGGGAGCAAACAGGAUUAGAUACCCGUGUA
rnacentral:rRNA from 1 species